AUCAGAGUUUCCACAGGAUUUAAUCUCCACUGAAUUUGUGUGGCAGAUCUGGGAUAACAGUUGAAGAGAAACCUCUCCCUCCUCCUCUGCCAGGCAGAAGGGCAGCUAUUUUUAAUAAGCUAUGUCACUGAUAAAGCUAAGCUGGUACCUGUAUGUCUGUAUCUUUAUUAGAGAACAUUUUUCUUUUAUCCUUAAUUUUCAUAGUAUGGUUGCAGAUUUGUAUUCACACUGAGCGAGCAUUAAAUUUACAACUUUCAUCACCACAGAAUCAUUACAGCUGGAAAAGACCUUCAGCCAUGGCAGAUCAUUAUAUGGAGGAAAAAAAAAAAAAAACCAAAAAAACCCAGUUACUGAAAAUGUUGCUCCCAGAUUAUGCUCCUCAUUGUCAUUUACUUAUUCCAACACUUGUCUGUUUUGAAGAGUCUUGAGAGUCUGUAGUGGUGCUUUGAAAAGAAAAAUCAUCAGAGUAAGAUUACAGAAGUUCAUUUCAUUAUGCCUGUUGCAUGACAAUUUGCUUUUAGAGCAUAUGUCUAUAACAAUGUAAUCUCAUAAUUUGAAAAAGGCAGUAGGAAUUGUGCUUUCAACUAUCUAGUGUGAUGAAAUCAUCACAGGAAAAACUAUGAAUUCCUGAGUCACCAUUUUAAAAAUCAGGAAUGGUUUUAUUUUUAUUAUCUUACACAAAUUUGUUUGUUGCCAAGAUCUGUAGGGAUGUGUGGGCACAAAGGCUGGGAAACAAAACUCUGGUUCAAGCAAUCCUUGUUUAGAGACAGUGGAGAUCAUUGUGUUGGAUAAUUUGGGUAUUCCUACUGAAUGUGAUCCUGCACCAACAGGAAUAGAGGAAGUAUCAGGGAGCAUAAGACACUUUUACAGAGCCAUUAUCACAGAAUCAGGGAAUCACUGAAGCUGGAAGAGACAUCCAUGAUCAUGAAGUCCAACCUCAGGCUCUCUGUUUGUGUGUAGAGUUAACUCCCCCUUUUCACCAAUCAGUUUUCAGAAUGAAGAAAAUAUUCAUCCUGGAAAAUGAUGUGUGCAGUGCUCCUAGAAAUAAGCCUGGUGCCCAGUUUCCACCCAGAGCUCAGGAAUUUUUCUUCCUGUGCAGUCAGAAGCCCCUAAAGGAACUGCCCCCAGAUCACUUACUCUGAGACGUUUGUGUGGAUAUAAACUUCUUUAUCAAGGUGUCGGUAGUCUGUGUGUAAAGGCUGAGAGCAUAUUUGAGGGACUGCAGGUCUGGACUCUUCUCCAGGAAAUUCUUUUUUAGCCCACUUCCUCCAGCAUGGAAGUAUUGCUAAAAUGAAAAACAAAUAUGGUUGUUCACAGAGGAAAUAUAAAUGCUUCAGCUAUAGACAUACAAAUUUAAGUAAAAUUCUUAAAUGAAUGUUUGGAAGUAGCAACAGGCAUGUCUAGAUUUAUAAUAGCAUUUCAGACUACAGCCAUAAUCUCUAGUACAAAGCUUCUUUCCAAGGGUAAAAAAUAAUCGGGGAAGAAAACAAUAUACAAAAUUUUGAUUUUGGUCUUCAUGAUCUAAAGUAUUAAUUUGCCAAUUGGAAAAUAUUUGAAGCAUUCUUUUAGGUUGCAGAGAGUGGAAUGAGUUUAGAAAAGGAUAAAACAUUUCAGAGAGAAUACUCCAGAGUGUGAAGUUUUGGAGUAGCAGUGUGAGAAGAGGACUUUUGGUUCUAGUGGCACAGCUAGAUUUGGAAAAACAAAUAUGCUUAUGACUUUGAUGCCAUGGUGACUAUGUGAAA